GAUGAACGCUAGCUACAGGCUUAACACAUGCAAGUCGCAGGGUAACAUGAGGAAAGCUUGCUUUCCUUGAUGCCGACUGGCGCACGGGUGAGUAACGCGUAUCCAACCUUCCCAUAACUACGGGAUAACCCGUUGAAAGACGGCCUAAUACCGUAUGAUAUCGUUUGCUGACAUCAAAUAACGAUUAAAGGUUUAGCGGUUAUGGAUGGGGAUGCGUCUGAUUAGCUUGUUGGCGGGGUAACGGCCCACCAAGGCGACGAUCAGUAGGGGUUCUGAGAGGAAGGUCCCCCACAUUGGAACUGAGACACGGUCCAAACUCCUACGGGAGGCAGCAGUGAGGAAUAUUGGUCAAUGGGCGAGAGCCUGAACCAGCCAAGUAGCGUGCAGGACGACGGCGCUAUGGGUUGUAAACUGCUUUUAUGUGGGGAUAAAGUGCGUGACGUGUCAUGCAUUGCAGGUACCACAUGAAUAAGGACCGGCUAAUUCCGUG
rnacentral:rRNA from 1 species